GACGUAGGGGGCGAGCGUUGUCCGGAUUCAUUGGGCGUAAAGCGCGCGUAGGCGGCUGCGCAAGUCGGUUGUGAAAUUCCGGGGCUCAACCCCGGAACUGCGUCCGAUACUGCGUGGCUAGAGGUAGGUAGGGGAGAGUCGGAAUUCCUGGUGUAGCGGUGAAUGCGCAGAUAUCAGGAGGAACACCGGUGGCGAAAGCGCUCAUCUGGCCCAAUACUGACGCUGAGGCGCGAAAGCUAGGGGAGCAAACGGG
rnacentral:rRNA from 1 species